GAUUAGUUUUUUCUUUUGUUUGUUCUGUUUUGUUUUUUGUGUUGAAUAAUUUUCUUUCAUCACUUUUGAAAUGUUAUCCACCGAACGUGAUUCACGAAGCGCAGCCUACCGAUCGGCAACCUACGACGAGGUACAUAUAAUGUAUCGUAUAUAAAGGUAUUCAUAAAUUAGACCUCCUUAAAUUACCUCAUUUUAAAUUAUAGAAUAAUUUAUAGUAAUGUUUAAUAUAUACAGGUACAGGUCUCGUAUAGUUGCAGUCGUGUCGUCACUGGUUGUUCAUUUGUGUCUUUUGCUCGCGCAUUUUCGAACGUGCUUGGCGGGUGCCGACAAAAUCCGCCGUGUUUUGGUCGACGUGUGCGUCAACAUUUUUAAAGAUCCUUCACGUGAGUGCGCACGCGCUCAUACCACCCUUCCUUCUAUCCCUCUAUCUCUCUCUCUUGCGUGGAUGCAAGAGAUGCCUUUUGGAACGACAUUUUUGAUCGAUAACAACGAAUGGAGAAAAGGGUCCAGUAUUUCCAUUCACUCGUCGCGCGUAUUUUUAAACAACGCUUACGCGAAAUGGAACGUUCUUAAGGCAUCUCGCACACGAGUCUUAAUAAACAAGGUAUUGCUCUGGAGCAAGCUCGGUCAGCCGAAUCUCGUUUACGUUUCCACGGCUGAAUUUAGCGCCAGGGCAAAAGGGUCUGCUCCCC